CUGUGGCGGAUGGAUAUGACGAGUCUUAAUUUUCAGUGGAGGGAUCUACCUGGACACUCGAAAAUCCACGGAUUCCCUGAGCUGCCACUGGAGAAGAUUCUGCAAGACAAAUACACACAGUUACCCUGGUGGACACUUAACAACUCAACUAAGGUUUGUCAACUGUCAAGAGUGGGUGGGAAAGAUUUAAAAGACUGCACACA